AUUGAACGCUGGCGGCAGGCCUAACACAUGCAAGUCGAACGAGUGGCGGACGGGUGAGUAAUGUCUGGGAAACUGCCUGAUGGAGGGGGAUAACUACUGGAAACGGUAGCUAAUACCGCAUACCAUCGGAUGUGCCCAGAUGGGAUUAGCUAGUAGGUGGGGUAAAGGCUAACCUAGGCGACGAUCCCUAGGUGGUCUGAGAGGAUGACCAGCCAAACUGGAACUGAGACACGGUCCAGACUCCUACGGGAAGCAGCAGUGGGGAAUAUUGGCAAAUGGGCGCAAGCCUGAUGCAGCCAUGCCGCGUGUAUGAAGAAGGCCUUCGGGUUGUAAAGUACUUUCAGCGGGGAGGCGUUACCCGCAGAAGAAGCACCGGCUAACUCCGUUCCAGCAGCCGCGGUAAUUC
rnacentral:rRNA from 1 species